CUAAAAUCCAGUGAGCAUGUACCCUGAGCUCAGCACAGCUGGGGAAGAUCUCAGAAAUCAGGAACGCCCCUCUCUGCAAGUGAGCUCGAGGAGCCUGCACUUGGGGCCCCCUUGUGGCUGAGUGGGGCAGGGCUGCUUGCCGAGAACGCGCGGGAGGGUCCUUCUGCUCUGGGGCUCCAGGCUGCUAAGAAAGCACACACAGGGGAGCCCUGCUUUCUACCACCGCCACUCCGAGAGUGCAGGCUGCUCCGAGGAUCUGUGUCUCUGGGUCCCGGGACAGGAGCGCCCUGGUCGUGGUCAGGGGAAGGGGGCAGGCAGACCGGUCACGGACAAAAGUAGGGUGCUCCAGGUUAAGGUAUGCGGAGGGGCGUAUGGGGAGCAAUCGGGUUGGAGUGUGUGUGGCCCAGGGGGGCUGAGGCGCACCCCAGGGCGCUGACAGGAGGAGCUCGCAAUCCUGCGCCGGCGAUGCUGAGCGCACCCCCCGCUGCACCCGCGAGCCCAGGCACGUGUUUGCCCCUGGCGUCCUCGCGGCCUGAGUCUCGGGGCUGCAAACGCGGCUGUCAGGAUUCAGCCCGUACUAGGUCACAGACCUUGUCACGCCGUCCCUCACCUCUGUCCCCGGACUCCCCAGAGACCCCAGACGGCAGGAGUUGCCCAAUUUUCCAGCACAAAUACUUGUUGACAAAUAAUUGA
rnacentral:lncRNA from 1 species